rnacentral:rRNA from 1 species
CAAGUCGAGCGAACAGACGAGGAGCUUGCUCCUCUGACGUUAGCGGCGGACGGGUGAGUAACACGUGGAUAACCUACCUAUAAGACUGGGAUAACUUCGGGAAACCGGAGCUAAUACCGGAUAAUAUAUUGAACCGCAUGGUUCAAUAGUGAAAGACGGUUUUGCUGUCACUUAUAGAUGGAUCCGCGCCGCAUUAGCUAGUUGGUAAGGUAACGGCUUACCAAGGCAACGAUGCGUAGCCGACCUGAGAGGGUGAUCGGCCACACUGGAACUGAGACACGGUCCAGACUCCUACGGGAGGCAGCAGUAGGGAAUCUUCCGCAAUGGGCGAAAGCCUGACGGAGCAACGCCGCGUGAGUGAUGAAGGUCUUCGGAUCGUAAAACUCUGUUAUUAGGGAAGAACAAAUGUGUAAGUAACUAUGCACGUCUUGACGGUACCUAAUCAGAAAGCCACGGCUAACUACGUGCCAGCAGCCGCGGUAAUACGUAGGUGGCAAGCGUUAUCCGGAAUUAUUGGGCGUAAAGCGCGCGUAGGCGGUUUUUUAAGUCUGAUGUGAAAGCCCACGGCUCAACCGUGGAGGGUCAUUGGAAACUGGAAAACUUGAGUGCAGAAGAGGAAAGUGGAAUUCCAUGUGUAGCGGUGAAAUGCGCAGAGAUAUGGAGGAACACCAGUGGCGAAGGCGACUUUCUGGUCUGUAACUGACGCUGAUGUGCGAAAGCGUGGGGAUCAAAC